rnacentral:tRNA from 1 species
CAUUAUGAAGCUAAUUAGCGUUAACCUUUUAAGUUAAAGAUUGGGAGCACUAAUCCCCAUAAUGA